rnacentral:pre_miRNA from 1 species
UCUUAUAGAUGAGCAAAGGAAAUAGUUUCUUGAGAAGGAAUCUACCCUUGGUGAAGACGCUGUGAA